rnacentral:rRNA from 1 species
UGUAGCCUACGGGAGGCAGCAGUGGGGAAUAUUGCACAAUGGGCGAAAGCCUGAUGCAGCAACGCCGCGUGAAGGAAGAAGGGUUUCGGCUCGUAAACUUCUAUCAACAGGGACGAAAGAAAUGACGGUACCUGAAUAAGAAGCCCCGGCUAACCACGUGCCAGCAGCCGCGGUAAUACGUAGGGGGCAAGCGUUAUCCGGAUUUACUGGGGGUAAAGGGGGAGCAGACGGCGAUGCAAGCCAGGAGUGAAAGCCCGGG